UACAGAGGAGCCAAGCGUUGUCCGGAUUGACUGGGCGUAAAGCGCACGCAGGCGGUCGCGCGCGUGGGGUGUGAAAUCUGGCCGCUUAACGGCCAGGCGCCAUCCCAUACGGCACGACUGGAGUGAUGCAGAGGUCGAUGGAAUUGCCGGUGUAGUGGUGAAAUGCGUAGAUAUAGGGAAGAACACCAAUCAGGCGAAGGCAGUUAACUAUUCUAUUCCUGACAUUGAGGCAUGAAAGCGUGGGGAGCAAAACGG
rnacentral:rRNA from 1 species